rnacentral:rRNA from 1 species
GAUGAACGCUGGCGGCGUGCCUAAUACAUGCAAGUCGAGCGAACAGACGAGGAGCUUGCUCCUCUGACGUUAGCGGCGGACGGGUGAGUAACACGUGGAUAACCUACCUAUAAGACUGGGAUAACUUCGGGAAACCGGAGCUAAUACCGGAUAAUAUAUUGAACCGCAUGGUUCAAUAGUGAAAGACGGUUUUGCUGUCACUUAUAGAUGGAUCCGCGCCGCAUUAGCUAGUUGGUAAGGUAACGGCUUACCAAGGCAACGAUGCGUAGCCGACCUGAGAGGGUGAUCGGCCACACUGGAACUGAGACACGGUCCAGACUCCUACGGGAGGCAGCAGUAGGGAAUCUUCCGCAAUGGGCGAAAGCCUGACGGAGCAACGCCGCGUGAGUGAUGAAGGUCUUCGGAUCGUAAAACUCUGUUAUUAGGGAAGAACAAAUGUGUAAGUAACUUUGCACGUCUUGACGGUACCUAAUCAGAAAGCCACGGCUAACUACGUG